rnacentral:rRNA from 1 species
GACGAACGCUGGCGGCGUGCUUAACACAUGCAAGUCGAACGGAAAGGCCCUGCUUUUGUGGGGUGCUCGAGUGGCGAACGGGUGAGUAACACGUGAGUAACCUGCCCUUGACUUUGGGAUAACUUCAGGAAACUGGGGCUAAUACCGGAUAGGAGCUCCUGCUGCAUGGUGGGGGUUGGAAAGUUUCGGCGGUUGGGGAUGGACUCGCGGCUUAUCAGCUUGUUGGUGGGGUAGUGGCUUACCAAGGCUUUGACGGGUAGCCGGCCUGCGAGGGUGACCGGCCACAUUGGGACUGAGAUACGGCCCAGACUCCUACGGGAGGCAGCAGUGGGGAAUAUUGCACAAUGGGCGGAAGCCUGAUGCGGCAACGCCGCGUGCGGGAUGACGGCCUUCGGGGUGUAAACCGCUUUCGCCUGUGACGAAGCGUGAGUGACGGUAAUGGGUAAAGAAGCACCGGCUAACUACGUG